GACGUAGGGCGCGAGCGUUGUCCGGAUUUAUUGGGCGUAAAGAGCUCGUAGGCGUCUUGUGCUGUCGUACCGUGGAAACCUGGGACUCAACGUCCGCUUGCGGUCGAUACGGGCAGGCUAGAGUUCGGUAGGGGAGACUGGAAUUCCUGGUGUAGCGGUGAAAUGCGUAGAUAUCGAGAGGAACACCUGCGGCGAAGGCGGGUUGCUGGGCUGAUACUGACGCUGAGGCGCGAAAGCCAGGGGAGCGAACGGG
rnacentral:rRNA from 1 species